AGGCCCGUAAAUGUAGCAUUUUUCUUGUGCCAUUCGCUUCCACAGAUCGGAUCGCAGCUACCCACGGGAUAAAUAUCACAGAAAGUGUGCACAGUGUUUGUGACGCCAUAAGCGCUUCGAAUCUGACGACGACGACGAACGGCGACGGCGCGGCAGAUAGAUGGAUGCGGCCGAAGCCAGUGCGAGAUGGUGUGUGGUCACUGGCGGCCGCGGCUUCGCGGCGAGACAUCUGGUGCUGAUGCUUCUCCGCUCCGGCGAGUGGCGCGUGCGCGUGGCCGACCUGGCCCAAGUCAUCUCUCUCGACCUAGACGAGGAGCAGGGUAUCCUCGGGGCCGCCAUCCGCGAAGGACAAGCCGUUUACGCGUCCGCCGACCUCCGCGACAAGGCCCAGCUGGCCAAAGCUUUUGAAGGGGCAGAAGUAGUUUUUCAUAUGGCUGCUCCAGACUCAUCCAUCAACAACUUCCAUCUUCAUUAUUCGGUGAAUGUUGAAGGAACAAAGAAUGUCAUUGAUGCAUGUAUCCAUUGCAAGGUGAAGCGACUUAUCUACACUAGUUCACCAAGUGUAGUUUUUGAUGGUGUUCAUGGAAUUUUUAAUGCAGAUGAAUCAAUGCCCUACCCAGAUAAGUUUAAUGAUUCGUAUUCAGAAACAAAGGCAGACGCAGAAAAAUUGGUGAUGAGAGCUAAUGGUAGGGAUGGGCUUCUUACUUGUUGUAUACGCCCAAGUAGCAUUUUUGGGCCCGGUGAUAAGCUACUGGUUCCUUCUCUGGUUGCUGCUGCAAGGGCAGGCAAGUCCAAAUACAUAAUUGGCGAUGGGAACAACUAUUAUGAUUUCACCUACGUCGAAAACGUUGCCUAUGGCCAUGUUUGUGCGGACAAAACUCUAUCAUCUGAAGAUGGUGCAAAGAGAGCUGCUGGAAAAGCCUACUUCGUGACAAAUGUGGAGCCCAUAAAGUUCUGGGAGUUUAUGUCAUUGCUUCUAGAUGGUCUUGGAUAUCAAAGGCCUUCAAUAAAAAUUCCUGUCUCUGUUAUGAUGCCAUUGGCUCAUGUGGUGGAAUGGACUUACAAGUCGUUCUGCAAGUAUGGCAUGAAGGUUCCUCAGCUGACACCGUCAAGGAUCAGGCUCCUCUCAUGCAAUCGAACAUUCAGUUGCUCAAGAGCCAAAGAUCAGCUUGGUUAUGAACCCAUUGUAUCACUCAAGGAUGGGCUGAAGAGAACAAUAGAGUCGUAUUCCCAUAUGCAAGCUCAGAAUCAAAGGAGUAUAUCAAAGACUUCGAUUUUGCUUGGGAAUGGAAAUGUUGCAAAAACGCUUCUUUGGGAAGAUUCGAAGCAAACAAUGACAGUGCUACUACUAUUGGCUGUUAUCUACUACCAGUUAUUCACAUGUGGUUACACCAUUAUCACAGCAAUGGCAAAAAUUUUCUCACUAACAGCACUGUUCUUGUUCAUUCAUGGCAUGCUUCCUGCAAAUGUGUUUGGCCACAAGAUUGAGAAACUUGAGCCCUCAAACUUCCACAUCUCACAGGUGGUAUUCUUCCUACUGGUUGUUAGCAUCCUUAGUGCUAUGUCUUCGGAGGCUGCAUUUAAAAUAGGUAUUCCUCUCAUUUUCAUAGGCUUCAAAGCAUAUGAGAAAUGGGAGGACACAAUUGACAGCCUGGUGGGUGAUGCUUGUUCGUUCGUUCUACAGUUUACUCCUAUCCAGAUAUCUUCAAGGCAGAAACAAACAUAGACAUGGAGAGCUCGUUAACAGUUGAAUUUUAUUUUGUAGUUAUAUUAAGUUUUACUUUUCAGUUAUUGGCGAUUUUCUAUGAACUUUUAGUUUGACAUUUACUCUUUUAGAAUCAUCAUUCAGAGUCUUAAUAAAGUUUAUAGAAUGUUUCCUUAAUGUCGUUGAUUUAAGAUAUGGUGGUGUACAGUUUUUUUAUUCUUUAGAUGUUUACCCCACUGGACUGUAUUGUUCGACGUAUAGCACAUUGAAAUUAGCUUUUAUUGCCAUUGAAUCUUCCUGAAUUAUUGCAAGUGCUGAUCUUCCUAGUCCUGUGCAGUUUGGUUAGGAU
rnacentral:rRNA from 1 species